CCUACGGGAGGCAGCAGUGGGGGAUAUUGCACAAUGGGGGAAACCCUGAUGCAGCGACGCCGCGUGAGUGAAGAAGUAUUUCGGUAUGUAAAACUCUAUCAGCAGGGAAGAAAAUGACAGUAACUGACCAAGAAGCCCCGGCUAACUACGUGCCAGCAGCCGCGGUAAUACGUAGGGGGCGAGCGUUAUCCGGAUUUACUGGGUGUAAAGGGAGCGUAGACGGUUAUGUAAGUCUGGAGUGAAAGCCCGGGGCCCAACCCCGGGACUGCAUUGGAAACUGUGUAACUGGAGUGCAGGAGGGGCAGGCGGAAUUCCUGGUGUAGCGGUGAAAUGCGUAGAUAUCAGGAGGAACACCGGCGGCGAAGGCGGCCUGCUGGACUGAAACUGACGUUGAGGCUCGAAAGCGUGGGGAGCAAACAGGAUUAGAUACCCCUGUAGUC
rnacentral:rRNA from 1 species